GGGGAAGUUGUCUAGAUUGGUAUGAUGCAAGGUUUGGGACCUUGUGGUCGGGGGUUCAAAUCCCUCCUUCCCCA
rnacentral:tRNA from 1 species